rnacentral:tRNA from 1 species
GGGGUUAUAGCUCAGCUGGUUAGAGCGCGUCACUGAUAAUGACGAGGUCUGUGGUUCAAGUCCACAUAACCCCACCA